UAGCUAGUUGGUGAGGUAAAGGCUUACCAAGGCGACGAUCUGUAGCGGGUCUGAAAGGAUGAUCCGCCACACUGGAACUGAGACACGGUCCAGACUCCUACGGGAGGCAGCAGUGGGGAAUUUUGGACAAUGGGGGCAACCCUGAUCCAGCCAUGCCGCGUGAGUGAAGAAGGCCUUCGGGUUGUAAAGCUCUUUCGGCCGGGAAGAAAUCGCAUGGGCCAAUACCCUGUGUGGAUGACGGUACCGGAAUAAGAAGCACCGGCUAACUACGUGCCAGCAGCCGCGGUAAUACGUAGGGUGCGAGCGUUAAUCGGAAUUACUGGGCGUAAAGCGUGCGCAGGCGGUUUUGUAAGACAGGCGUGAAAUCCCCGGGCUUAACCUGGGAACUGCGUUUGUGACUGCAAGGCUAGAGUACGGCAGAGGGGGGUGGAAUUCCACGUGUAGCAGUGAAAUGCGUAGAGAUGUGGAGGAACACCAAUGGCGAAGGCAGCCCCCUGGGUCGAUACUGACGCUCAUGCACGAAAGCGUGGGUAGCAAACAGGAUUAGAUACCCUGGUAGUCCACGCCCUAAACUAUGUCAACUAGGUGUUGGGUGGGUAAAACCAUUUAGUACCGUAGCUGACGCGUGAAGUUGACCGCCUGGGGAGUACGGCCGCAAGGUUAAAACUCAAAGGAAUUGACGGGGACCCGCACAAGCGGUGGAUGAUGUGGAUUAAUUCGAUGCAACGCGAAAAACCUUACCUACCCUUGACAUGCCAGGAACUUGCCAGAGAUGGCUUGGUGCCCGAAAGGGAGCCUGGACACAGGUGCUGCAUGGCUGUCGUCAGCUCGUGUCGUGAGAUGUUGGGUUAAGUCCCGCAACGAGCGCAACCCUUGUCGUUAAUUGCCAUCAUUUGGUUGGGCACUUUAACGAGACUGCCGGUGACAAACCGGAGGAAGGUGGGGAUGACGUCAAGUCCUCAUGGCCCUUAUGGGUAGGGCUUCACACGUCAUACAAUGGUUGGUACAAAGGGUUGCCAAGCCGCGAGGCGGAGCCAAUCCCAGAAAGCCGAUCGUAGUCCGGAUUGCAGGCUGCAACUCGCCUGCAUGAAGUCGGAAUCGCUAGUAAUCGUGGAUCAGCAUGUCACGGUGAAUACGUUCCCGGGUCUUGUACACACCGCCCGUCACACCAUGGGAGCGGGUUCCGCCAGAAGUAGGUAGCCUAACCGCAAGGGGGGCGCUUACCACGGCGGGGUUCGUGACUGGGGUGAAGUCGGAACAAGGUAGCCGUAGGGGAACCUGCGGCUG
rnacentral:rRNA from 1 species